AACGGCCGUACCAUGCUGAAUAUACCGGUUCUCGUUCGAUCACCGAAGUCAAGCAUCAUUGGGCGCGAUCAGUACUUGGGUGGGUCACCAUCUGGGAACACCGCGUGC
rnacentral:rRNA from 1 species